GACGGGGGGGGCAAGUGUUCUUCGGAAUCACUGGGCGUAAAGGGCGCGUAGGUGGUGACCUAAGCGUGCGGUGAAAGCCCGAGGCUCAACCUCGGGUCGGCCGUGCGAACUGGGUCACUGGAGCAGAAUAGAGGCAGGUGGAAUUCCGGGUGUAGCGGUGGAAUGCGUAGAGAUCCGGAAGAACACCGGUGGCGAAGGCGGCCUGCUGGGUUCUGGCUGACACUGAGGCGCGACAGCGUGGGGAGCAAACAGG
rnacentral:rRNA from 1 species